rnacentral:rRNA from 1 species
GGGGUAGAGCACUGGAUGGGUAAGGGGGGCGCGAGCCUUACCAAACCUAACCAAACUCCGAAUACCCGUGAGCAGAGCGCGGCAGACAGACGGUGGGUGCUAAGGUCCAUCGUCGAGAGGGAAACAGCCCAGACCGCCAGCUAAGGUCCCCAAAUCACGGCUAAGUGGGAAAGGAUGUGGGAAGGCCAUGACAACCAGGAGGUUGGCUUAGAAGCAGCCAUCCUUUAAAGAAAGCGUAAUAGCUCACUGGUCUAGUUAAGCCGGCCUGCGCCGAAAAUGUAUCGGGGCUCAAGCCGUGUACCGAAGCUGCGGAUGCGAUCUUUGAUCGCGUGGUAGCGGAGCGUUCCGUAAGCCUGUGAAGGGUGCCCGUGAGGUCGCCUGGAGGUAUCGGAAGUGAGAAUGCUGACAUGAGUAGCGACAAACAGUGUGAGAAACACUGUCGCCGAAAGUCCAAGGGUUCCUGCGCAAGGUUAAUCCACGCAGGGUGAGCCGGCCCCUAAGGCGAGGCCGAAAGGCGUAGUCGAUGGGAACCACGUUAAUAUUCGUGGGCCUGGCGGAGGUGACGGAUCCCAACGCGUGUACGAUCUUAUCGGAUUGAUCGUGCUGUAGAGGGGUUCCAGGAAACAGCCCCGCCAUAUAGACCGUACCCCAAACCGACACAGGUGGACUGGUAGAGUAUACCCAGGCGCUUGAGAGAAUGGUGUUGAAGGAACUCGGCAAAUUGCCCUCGUAACUUCGGAAGAAGAGGGCCCCGUUGGGACGCAAGUCCUGGCGGGGGGCACAGACCAGGGGGUAGCGACUGUUUACUAAAAACACAGGGCUCUGCGAAGCCACACAAGGCGACGUAUAGGGUCUGACGCCUGCCCGGUGCCGGAAGGUUAAGAGGAGAGGUGCAAGCCUUGAAUUGAAGCCCCGGUAAACGGCGGCCGUAACUAUAACGGUCCUAAGGUAGCGAAAUUCCUUGUCGGGUAAGUUCCGACCUGCACGAAUGGCGUAACGACUUCCCCGCUGUCUCCAACACCAACUCAGCGAAAUUGAACUCUCGUGAAGAUGCGGAGUUCCCGCGGUCAGACGGAAAGACCCCGUGCACCUUUACUACAGCUUUGCAGUGGUGCUAGGGACUCAUGUGUAGGAUAGGUGGGAGGCUUGGAAGCAUGGGCGCCAGCUCGUGUGGAGCCAACCUUGAAAUACCACCCUUGAAGUCUCUGGCAUCUAACCGUGGGCCCGUUAUCGGGGUCCGGGA